rnacentral:lncRNA from 1 species
GGUUUAUGAGGUUGUCAAGUUUUCAUUUCAAUGCAAAUCCAGCUGGACAACACCAUGUCACAAAGCAGUGUGCUUCUAGAUACAGUUCAGUCUUGGCGUCAUCGAAUCAAUGAAACAUGAAGUUAGAAGCACACCGAGAUCCAGUGGCUUGUGACCCCUUGACCCUUUAGAGGAAGCGCACUAGAGUCGUUGGCAAGAAGAAGAGGAUCGCCAAGAAGAAGUCUGAGGCUGCCGAGUACCAAAAGCUUCUUGCUCAGAGGCUGAAGGAAUAGAGAGACCGCGAGAGCUUGGCCAAGAGGAGGUCCAAGCUUUCUGCCGCUUCCAAGGCUUCCGCUACCAUCGCCGCUUAAGAAUGUUCGAUGCUUUGAUAUGUUUCAAGACCUAUCUUGUUACAGCUUAAAUACCUUAUGCUACUCUGAUUGUGUUGCAACUUGCAACUGCCCCUGUACUUGAUAGAUUUGUAUUAGAUGCUCAAGCUACAGAGGGUAGGUUCCUAAUUAUGACCAUAUGACUAUGUACUAAAUUAUAUAUCUGUUGCUAAGUUAAAAUACAUACAAAAUAAGUUUACUCCGACCAUCUUGUAGAAAAACAAGUUAUA